AAGGAUCAUUAACGAAUUGUAAUGGAGGUUGAUGCUGGCAAGUCAUUCUUUGGCUGCAUGUGCUCGCCUCCAACAAUCUUUUUGACACACCUGUGCACCUUCUGAGGGUUUUCCGAGUGGAUCGCUGUUUCUGGUGAUCUUCCUUGGGAUUUCCUCUUCUUCACAUACGCUGUUAUAAAUAUUGAACGUGCUUGUGCCGAUAAGGCCUUAAUAAAAUACAACUUUUAACAACGGAUCUCUUGGCUCUCGCAUCGAUGAAGAACGCAGCGAAAUGCGAUAAGUAAUGUGAAUUGCAGAAUUCAGUGAAUCAUCGAAUCUUUGAACGCAUCUUGCGCUCCCUGGUAUUCCGGGGAGCACACCUGUUCGAGUGUCGUGAAAUUCUCAAGCUAGAUGCUUUUUUGUAAAUAAAAAGGUUGUCUUAGCUUGGUUAUUGGGCUUUGCCGUGUCCUUCGUUGGAACGGCUGGCCUUAAAAGCAUUAGCUGACCCUUGUGAUGACAUUGGUUCUACUCAGCGUGAUAAUAAUCUGACCGCUGAGGACAUCUUUCGGGAUGGCCAGUUCUCGUUUGGGUUGCUCUCUAAUCUGGUUUAUGGGUUGCUAAUCGCAAUCUAUUCCAUUUUCAAUUUUGACCUCNAAUCAGGUGGGACUACCCGCUGAACUUAA
rnacentral:rRNA from 1 species